UUAGGGUUAGGGUUAGGGUUGGAGUUAGGGUUAGUGUUGGAGCUAGGGUUAGGGUUGGGCUUGGAGCUAGGAUUUUUCUGAGUGCACUGAACCAACUCCCGAGUCUCUAGGACGUUCCUAAAAAAAUUUGAUUUCUUCCCAUAGGAAUGCAUGGGUUAGGGUUAGGCUUAGGGUUGGAGCUAGGGUUAGGGUUAGGGUUAGGGUUGGAGUUAGGGUUAGUGUUGGAGCUAGGGUUAGGGUUGGGCUUGGAGCUAGGAUUUUUCUGAGUGCACUGAACCAACUCCCGAGUCUCUAGGACGUUCCUAAAAAAAAUUUGAUUUUUUCCCAUAGGAAUGCAUGGGUUAGGGUUAGGGUUAGGGUUGGAGCUAGGGUUAGGGUUAGGGUUAGGGUUGGAGUUAGGGUUAGUGUUGGAGCUAGGGUUAGGGUUGGGCUUGGAGCUAGGAUUUUUCUGAGUGCACUGAACCAACUCCAGAGUCUGUAGGAUGUUCCUAAAAAAAUUUGAUUUUUUCCCAUAGGAAUGCAUGGGUUAGGGUUAGGGUUAGGGUUGGAGCUAGGGUUAGGGUUAGGGUUAGGGUUGGAGUUAGGGUUAGUGUUGGAGCUAGGGUUAGGGUUGGGCUUGGAGCUAGGAUUUUUCUGAGUGCAAUGAACCAACUCCCGAGUCUCUAGGACGUUCCUAAAAAAAUUUGAUUUUUUCCCAUGGGAAUGCAUGGGUUAGGGUUAGGGUUGGAGCUAGGGUUAGGGUUAGGGUUAGGGUUGGAGUUAGGGUUAGUGUUGGAGCUAGGGUUAGGGUUGGGCUUGGAGCUAGGAUUUUUCUGAGUGCACUGAACCAACUCCCGAGUCUCUAGGACGUUCCUAAAAAAAUUUGAUUUUUUCCCAUAGGAAUGCAUGGGUUAGGGUUAGGGUUAGGGUUGGAGCUAGGGUUAGGGUUAGGGUUAGGGUUGGAGUUAGGGUUAGUGUUGGAGCUAGGGUUAGGGUUGGGCUUGGAGCUAGGAUUUUUCUGAGUGCACUGAACCAACUCCCGAGUCUCUAGGACGUUCCUAAAAAAAUUUGAUUUCUUCCCAUAGGAAUGCAUGGGUUAGGGUUAGGGUUAGGGUUGGAGCUAGGGUUAGGGUUAGGGUUAGGGUUGGAGUUAGGGUUAGUGUUGGAGCUAGGGUUAGGGUUGGGCUUGGAGCUAGGAUUUUUCUGAGUGCACUGAACCAACUCCCGAGUCUCUAGGACGUUCCUAAAAAAAUUUGAUUUUUUCCCAUAGGAAUGCAUGGGUUAGGGUUAGGGUUAGGGUUAGGGUUAGGGUUAGGGUUGGAGUUAGGGUUAGUGUUGGAGCUAGGGUUAGGGUUGGGCUUGGAGCUAGGAUUUUUCUGAGUGCACUGAACCAACUCCAGAGUCUGUAGGAUGUUCCUAAAAAAAUUUGAUUUUUUCCCAUAGGAAUGCAUGGGUUAGGGUUAGGGUUAGGGUUGGAGCUAGGGUUAGGGUUAGGGUUAGGGUUGGAGUUAGGGUUAGUGUUGGAGCUAGGGUUAGGGUUGGGCUUGGAGCUAGGAUUUUUCUGAGUGCACUGAACCAACUCCCGAGUCUGUAGGAUGUUCCUAAAAAAAUUUGAUUUUUUCCCAUAGGAAUGCAUGGGUUAGGGUUAGGGUUAGGGUUAGGGUUGGAGCUAGGGUUAGGGUUAGGGUUAGGGUUGGAGUUAGGGUUAGUGUUGGAGCUAGGGUGAGCGUUGGGCUUGGAGCUAGGAUUUUUCUGAGUGCAAUGAACCAACUCCCGAGUCUCUAGGACGUUCCUAAAAAAAAUUGAUUUUUUCCCAUGGGAAUGCAUGGGUUAGGGUUAGGGUUAGGGUUGGAGCUAGGGUUAGGGUUAGGGUUAGGGUUGGAGUUAGGGUUAGUGUUGGAGCUAGGGUUAGGGUUGGGCUUGGAGCUAGGAUUUUUCUGAGUGCACUGAACCAACUCCCGAGUCUCUAGGACGUUCCUAAAAAAAUUUGAUUUUUUCCCAUAGGAAUGCAUGGGUUAGGGUUAGGGUUAGGGUUGGAGCUAGGGUUAGGGUUAGGGUUAGGGUUGGAGUUAGGGUUAGUGUUGGAGCUAGGGUUAGGGUUGGGCUUGGAGCUAGGAUUUUUCUGAGUGCACUGAACCAACUCCCGAGUCUCUAGGACGUUCCUAAAAAAAUUUGAUUUUUUCCCAUGGGAAUGCAUGGGUUAGGGUUAGGUAGGGUUAGGGUUGGAGCUAGGGUUAGGGUUAGGGUUAGGGUUGGAGUUAGGGUUAGUGUUGGAGCUAGGGUUAGGGUUGGGCUUGGAGCUAGGAUUUUUCUGAGUGCACUGAACCAACUCCCGAGUCUCUAGGACGUUCCUAAAAAAAUUUGAUUUUUCCCAUAGGAAUGCAUGGGUUAGGGUUAGGGUUAGGGUUGGAGCUAGGGUUAGGGUUAGGGUUAGGGUUGGAGUUAGGGUUAGUGUUGGAGCUAGGGUUAGGGUUGGGCUUGGAGCUAGGAUUUUUCUGAGUGCACUGAACCAACUCCCGAGUCUCUAGGACGUUCCUAAAAAAUUUGAUUUUUUCCCAUAGGAAUGCAUGGGUUAGGGUUAGGGUUAGGGUUGGAGCUAGGGUUAGGGUUAGGGUUAGGGUUGGAGUUAGGGUUAGUGUUGGAGCUAGGGUUAGGGUUGGGCUUGGAGCUAGGAUUUUUCUGAGUGCACUGAACCAACUCCUGAGUCUCUAGGACGUUCCUAAAAAAAUUUGAUUUUUUCCCAUAGGAAUGCAUGGGUUAGGGUUAGGGUUAGGGUUGGAGCUAGGGUUAGGGUUAGGGUUAGGGUUGGAGUUAGGGUUUGUGUUGGAGCUAGGGUUAGGGUUGGGCUUGGAGCUAGGAUUUUUCUGAGUGCACUGAACCAACUCCCGAGUCUCUAGGACGUUCCUAAAAAAAUUUGAUUUCUUCCCAUGGGAAUGCAUGGGUUAGGGUUAGGGUUAGGGCUGGAGCUAGGGUUAGGGUUAGGGUUAGGGUUGGAGUUAGGGUUAGUGUUGGAGCUAGGGUUAGGGUUGGGCUUGGAGCUAGGAUUUUUCUGAGUGCACUGAACCAACUCCCGAGUCUGUAGGAUGUUCCUAAAAAAAUUUGAUUUUUUCCCAUAGGAAUGCAUGGGUUAGGGUUAGGGUUAGGGUUAGGGUUGGAGCUAGGGUUAGGGUUAGGGUUAGGGUUGGAGUUAGGGUUAGUGUUGGAGCUAGGGUUAGGGUUGGGCUUGGAGCUAGGAUUUUUCUGAGUGCACUGAACCAACUCCCGAGUCUCUAGGACGUUCCUAAAAAAAUUUGAUUUUUUCCCAUGGGAAUGCAUGGGUUAGGGUUAGGGUUAGGGUUGGAGCUAGGGUUAGGGUUAGGGUUAGGGUUGGAGUUAGGGUUAGUGUUGGAGCUAGGGUUAGGGUUGGGCUUGGAGCUAGGAUUUUUCUGAGUGCACUGAACCAACUCCCGAGUCUCUAGGACGUUCCUAAAAAAAUUUGAUUUUUUCCCAUAGGAAUGCAUGGGUUAGGGUUAGGGUUAGGGUUGGAGCUAGGGUUAGGGUUAGGGUUAGGGUUGGAGUUAGGGUUAGUGUUGGAGCUAGGGUUAGGGUUGGGCUUGGAGCUAGGAUUUUUCUGAGUGCACUGAACCAACUCCCGAGUCUGUAGGAUGUUCCUAAAAAAAUUUGAUUUUUUCCCAUAGGAAUGCAUGGGUUAGGGUUAGGGUUAGGGUUGGAGCUAGGGUUAGGGUUAGGGUUAGGGUUGGAGUUAGGGUUAGUGUUGGAGCUAGGGUUAGGGUUGGGCUUGGAGCUAGGAUUUUUCUGAGUGCAAUGAACCAACUCCCGAGUCUCUAGGACGUUCCUAAAAAAAAUUGAUUUUUUCCCAUGGGAAUGCUAGGGUUAGGGUUAGGGUUAGGGUUGGGCUUGGAGCUAGGAUUUUUCUGAGUGCACUGAACCAACUCCCGAGUCUCUAGGACGUUCCUAAAAAAAUUUGAUUUUUUCCCAUAGGAAUGCAUGGGUUAGGGUUAGGGUUAGGGUUGGAGCUAGGGUUAGGGUUAGGGUUAGGGUUGGAGUUAGGGUUAGUGUUGGAGCUAGGGUUAGGGUUGGGCUUGGAGCUAGGAUUUUUCUGAGUGCACUGAACCAACUCCCAAGUCUCUAGGACGUUCCUAAAAAAAAUUGAUUUUUUCCCAUAGGAAUGCAUGGGUUAGGGUUGGAGCUAGGGUUAGGGUUAGGGUUAGGGUUAGGGUUAGGGUUAGGGUUGGAGUUAGGGUUAGUGUUGGAGCUAGGGUUAGGGUUGGGCUUGGAGCUAGGAUUUUUCUGAGUGCAGUGAACCAACUCCCGAGUCUGUAGGAUGUUCCUAAAAAAAUUUGAUUUUUUCCCAUAGGAAUGCAUGGGUUAGGGUUAGGGUUAGGGUUGGAGCUAGGGUUAGGGUUAGGGUUAGGGUUGGAGUUAGGGUUAGUGUUGGAGCUAGGGUUAGGGUUGGGCUUGGAGCUAGGAUUUUUCUGAGUGCACUGAACCAACUCCCGAGUCUCUAGGACGUUCCUAAAAAAAUUUGAUUUUUUCCCAUAGGAAUGCAUGGGUUAGGGUUAGGGUUAGGGUUGGAGCUAGGGUUAGGGUUAGGGUUAGGGUUGGAGUUAGGGUUUGUGUUGGAGCUAGGGUUAGGGUUGGGCUUGGAGCUAGGAUUUUUCUGAGUGCACUGAACCAACUCCCGAGUCUCUAGGACGUUCCUAAAAAAAUUUGAUUUCUUCCCAUAGGAAUGCAUGGGUUAGGGUUAGGGUUAGGGUUGGAGCUAGGGUUAGGGUUAGGGUUAGGGUUAGGGUUAGGGUUGGAGUUAGGGUUAGUGUUGGAGCUAGGGUUAGGGUUGGGCUUGGAGCUAGGAUUUUUCUGAGUGCACUGAACCAACUCCCGAGUCUCUAGGACGUUCCUAAAAAAAUUUGAUUUCUUCCAAUAGGAAUGCAUGGGUUAGGGUUAGGGUUAGGGUUGGAGCUAGGGUUAGGGUUAGGGUUAGGGUUGGAGUUAGGGUUAGUGUUGG